rnacentral:rRNA from 1 species
AUUGAACGCUGGCGGCAGGCUUAACACAUGCAAGUCGAGCGGAGUGAUGGUGCUUGCACUAUCACUUAGCGGCGGACGGGUGAGUAAUGCUUAGGAAUCUGCCUAUUAGUGGGGGACAACAUCUCGAAAGGGAUGCUAAUACCGCAUACGUCCUACGGGAGAAAGCAGGGGAUCACUUGUGACCUUGCGCUAAUAGAUGAGCCUAAGUCGGAUUAGCUAGUUGGUGGGGUAAAGGCCUACCAAGGCGACGAUCUGUAGCGGGUCUGAGAGGAUGAUCCGCCACACUGGGACUGAGACACGGCCCAGACUCCUACGGGAGGCAGCAGUGGGGAAUAUUGGACAAUGGGGGGAACCCUGAUCCAGCCAUGCCACGUGUGUGAAGAAGGCCUUUUGGUUGUAAAGCACUUUAAGCGAGGAGGAGGCUCUUAAGGUUAAUACCCUUGAUGAGUGGACGUUACUCGCAGAAUAAGCACCGGCUAACUCUGUGCCAGCCGCCGCCGUAAAAC